GCUUGAUUUUAAACAUUUCGUGUUCUUGAAUAUAGCGUUUUAUAUUAGCAGUUUUAAGUAUCGUGUAAAUGGAAGAAGGGAUCACAGGCGUGCGCGUGAAAGAAUGUUGACUCAAUAAAAAAAAAAAAAACGUUAGUUUUCUUCAAAACAGAAUGAUUGAUAAUCCAUAUUCUCUUGUAACAGUUGGUUUUCUCGAUUCCUCAUCCGCAGUUUCAACGUGUGCAAGUUAUAAUGAGGGGUGUAGAUGUGUGAUCUGAGAUCCUCGGAUAUGUAAGAGAAGAAAAAAAUUCCCACAAAUGAAUCAAUAUAGAAUAAAAUGAAAGGUUUUUAGCAAUUGGUUAGAAUAUUUUCCACGCGAAAAAUGUUUGAGUAGUUUUUGUGCCAAUUCUUUACAAGUGCCGAAUGUAAACAAUAUUUGGGUAACAUUAAGAGUAUGUUGCAACGCUUCCAAGUACCUCGCCUCACAAAAUGGUCAGGCCAAGUAUAUUGAUACUUAACAUUUGCAUAUG